UUAAGUUAAUAAGGGCGUACAGUGGAUGCCUUGGCACUAGAAGACGAAGAAGGACGCGACUACCUGCGAUAAGCGAUGGGGAGCUGGAAGUGAGCUUUGAUCCGUCGAUCUCCGAAUGGGGUAACCCGGCAUGAGUUAUAUCAUGUCAUCUUGCGAUGAAUUCAUAGUCGCAAUGAAGGAAGACCCAGGGAAUUGAAACAUCUUAGUACCUGGAGGAAAAGAAAGAGAAAUCGAUUCCGUCAGUAGCGGCGAGCGAAAGCGGAAGAGCCCAAACCAUCUCUUGAGAUGGGGUGUGGACCACAAUGUGGGAUGAGUUAUAUCACAGUCAAACGGUCUGGAAAGGCCGGCCAUAGAGGGUGAGAGCCCCGUAGAUAAACUGAUAUGACCCCCUAGUGAGUUCCCGAGUACGGCGAGGCACGUGAAACCUUGUCGGAAGACGCGCAGACCACUGCGCAAGGCUAAAUACUAACUAGUGACCGAUAGUGAACCAGUACCGUGAGGGAAAGGUGAAAAGAACCCCGGGAGGGGAGUGAAAAGACUCUGAAACUGUAUGCUUACAAAAAGUCAGAGCCCGUUAAAGGGUGAUGGCGUGCCUAUUGAAGAAUGAACCGGCGAGUUAUGAUGUCGUGCGAGGUUAAGUCGAAGAGACGGAGCCGCAGCGAAAGCGAGUCUGAAUAGGGCUUUAGUACGAUUUCAUAGACCCGAAACCUGACGAUCUAUCCAUGAACAGGUUGAAGGUGGGGUACAACCCACUGGAGGACCGAACCGACGUUCGUUGAAACGCCCGCGGAUGAUUUGUGGAUAGGGGAGAAAUUCCAAUCGAGUUAGGAGAUAGCUGGUUCUCCCCGAAAUAGCUUUAGGGCUAGCGUCUGAACAUUACUUAUUGGAGGUAGAGCACUGAAUCCAUGCGGGCCGUUUCAAGCGGUACCAAAUGCAAUCAAACUCCGAAUUCCAGUAAAUGUACUCAGGCAGUCAGACUGUGGGGGAUAAGCUCCAUGGUCAAAAGGGAAACAGCCCAGACCGUCGAUUAAGGUCCCUAAAUUCAUGCUAAGUGUAGAAGGAAGUGAAGAUGCAUAGACAGCUAGGAUGUUGGCUCAGAAGCAGCCACCAUUUAAAGAGUGCGUAACAGCUCACUAGUCGAGUGCCUUCGCGCCGAAGAUUUACCGGGGCUAAGCAUGAUACCGAAAUCACGGAUUUUAGAGUAAUCUAAAGUGGUAGGGGAGCGUUCCAUGUGGAUUGAAGCGAUACCGAGAGGAGUCGUGGACUGCAUGGAAGUGAGUAUGCCGGUGUGAGUAACGAUUGUGGGUGAGAAUCCCGCACACCAAUAGACUAAGGUUUCCUGGGGAAGGGUCGUCCUCCCAGGGUUAGUCGGGACCUAAGGCGAGGCCGAAAGGCGUAGUCGAUGGACAGCAGGUUGAUAUUCCUGCACCCGUAUGUAUGCGAUGUAGUGACAGAGAAGGCUAACUGAUCCCGGUUAUUGGAUUCCGGGCUAAGCGAGGUACCCGUGGCAUUGGCAAAUCCGUGCCACUGAGGGGAAGGCGUGAUGGGGAGCGAAUGGAGCAAUCCUAGUAGCGAAGACAGUGAUGCCAGCUUUCAAGAAAAGCUGCUAGCUUAAGUACAUGCGGCCCGUACCGAGAACGGACACACGUGGUCAAGGAGAAUAUCCUAAGGUGAGCGAGUUAACUGUUGUUAAGGAACUCUGCAAAAUCACUUCGUAAGUUCGCAAGAAGAAGUACUCUCGUAAGAGAGUCGCAGUGAAGAGGCCCAGGUAACUGUUUAUCAAAAACACAGCUCUAUGCUAAGCCGUAAGGCGAUGUAUAUGGGGUGAUGCCUGCCCAGUGCUGGAAGGUUAAAAGGUGGGGUUAGCCGCAAGGCGAAGCUCUGAAUUGAAGCCCCAGUGAACGGCGGCCGUAACUAUAACGGUCCUAAGGUAGCGAAAUUCCUUGUCAGGUAAGUUCUGACGCGCACGAAUGGUAUAAUAAUCUGGGCGCUGUCUCGACAGCAGACUCGGUGAAAUCUUAAUACCUGUGAAGAUGCAGGUUACCCGCGACUAGACGGGAAGACCCCAUGGAGCUUUACUAUAACUUAAUAUUGAGUAUCUAUGAUUCAUGUAGAGAAUAGGUAGGAGACUUUGAAGGCGGAGCGUCAGCUUCGCUGGAGUCGUCGGUGGAAUACUACUCUUGGAUUAUGGCUAUUCUAACCUACGCUCUUCACAGGGCGGGGGACAGUGUUAGGCAGGUAGUUUGACUGGGGCGGUCGCCUCCCAAAUUGUAACGGAGGCGCCCCAAGGUACCCUCAGUAUGGUUGGAAAUCAUACAUUGAGUGCAAAGGCAUAAGGGUGCUUGACUGCGAGACCUACAAGUCGAGCAGGGACGAAAGUCGGGCUUAGUGAUCCGGCGGUAUUCCGAGUGGAAGGGCCGUCGCUCAACGGAUAAAAGCUACCCUGGGGAUAACAGGCUAAUCGCGUCCAAGAGUUCAUAUCGACGACGCGGUUUGGCACCUCGAUGUCGGCUCAUCACAUCCUGGAGGGGAAGUACCUUCCAAGGGUUGGGCUGUUCGCCCAUUAAAGUGGUACGCGAGCUGGGUUCAAAACGUCGUGAGACAGUUUGGUCCCUAUCU
rnacentral:rRNA from 1 species